ACGCUUGUCUCAAAGAUUAAGCCAUGCAUGUCUAAGUACAUACCUUUGCACGGUGAAACCGCGAAUGGCUCAUUAAAUCAGUUAUGGUUCCUUAGAUCGUUCAUACUACAUGGAUAACUGUGGUAAUUCUAGAGCUAAUACAUGCAAAAAGCUCCGACCGUAUGGGAAGAGCGCUUUUAUUAGACCAAAACCAAUGGGGUCGCAAGAUCCCUUUGUAUGGUGACUCUGGAUAACUUUGUGCUGAUCGCAUGGCCUCGAGCCGGCGACGUAUCUUUCAAGUGUCUGCCCUAUCAACUUUCGAUGGUAAGCGAUUUGCCUACCAUGGUUGUAACGGGUAACGGGGAAUCAGGGUUCGAUUCCGGAGAGGGAGCAUGAGAAAUGGCUACCACAUCUACGGAAGGCAGCAGGCGCGCAAAUUACCCACUCCUAGAAUGGGGGAGGUAGUGACGAAAAAUAACAAUACCGGACUCAAUGAGGCUCGGUAAUUGAAAUGAGUACAGUUUAAAACCCUUAACGAGGAUCUAUUGGAGGGCAAGUCUGGUGCCAGCAGCCGCGGUAAUUCCAGCUCCAAUAGCGUAUAUUAAAGUUGUUGCAGUUAAAAAGCUCGUAGUUGGAUCUCGGGUACUAGCAUGUGGUACGCUUAACUGCUGUUACUACAUGUCUGGUCCUAAUCAACCGGUUGGCCGUUGAUGCCCUUUAUUGGGUGUUUUCGGUAGCCGGUACGUUUACUUUGAGAAAAUUAGAGUGCUUAAAGCAGGCCUUACGCCUGAAUAAUGUUGCAUGGAAUAAUAGAAUAGGACCUCGGUUCUAUUUUGUUGGUUUUGUAGAGCAUUGAGGUAAUGAUUAAUAGGGACAGACGGGGGCAUUCGUAUUGCGGUGUUAGAGGUGAAAUUCUUGGAUCGCCGCAAGACGAACAACUGCGAAAGCAUUU
rnacentral:rRNA from 1 species